rnacentral:rRNA from 1 species
CCUACGGGAGGCUGCAGUGGGGAAUAUUGCACAAUGGGCGCAAGCCUGAUGCAGCCAUGCCGCGUGUGUGAAGAAGGCCUUCGGGUUGUAAAGCACUUUCAGCGGGGAGGAAGGCGUUAAGGUUAAUAACCUCAUCGAUUGACGUUACCCGCAGAAGAAGCACCGGCUAACUCCGUGCCAGCAGCCGCGGUAAUACGGAGGGUGCAAGCGUUAAUCGGAAUUACUGGGCGUAAAGCGCACGCAGGCGGUCUGUCAAGUCGGAUGUGAAAUCCCCGGGCUCAACCUGGGAACUGCAUUCGAAACUGGGAGGCUAGAGUCUUGUAGAGGGGGGUAGAAUUCCAGGUGUAGCGGUGAAAUGCGUAGAGAUCUGGAGGAAUACCGGUGGCGAAGGCGGCCCCCUGGACAGAGACUGACGCUCAGGUGCGAAAGCGUGGGGAGCAAACAGGAUUAGAUACCCGAGUAGUC